UCGCCUUUCGUAUAAUGGUCAGUACUACUGUCUUCGAAACAGUCAAUAUAGGUUCGAAUCCUAUAGGGCGUU
rnacentral:tRNA from 2 species